rnacentral:rRNA from 1 species
UAGGGAAUCUUCCACAAUGGGCGCAGCCUGAUGGAGCAACACCGCGUGAGUGAAGAAGGGUUUCGGCUCGUAAAGCUCUGUUGUUAGAGAAGAACGUGCGUGAGAGUAACUGUUCACGCAGUGACGGUAUCUAACCAGAAAGUCACGGCUAACUACGUGCCAG